CUCUACCGCCUGGAACCUUUACCCACUUCGCUUUCCUCGAUGACCCCAGACUUGUUUGUUUUUGAUUAUUUAGAUGGGGUUUCAUGGAGUUUAGGCUGCCCUGGAUGGAACUCAGUGUGUAGCUGAAGAUGACCUUCAAUUUCUGAUCUUCCUGCUCCUAUCUUCUGAGUGCUGAGAUUACAGGCAUAUAUUACAGUGAUGGUUUGCAUAUGCUUGGCUUAAGGAGUAGCAGUAUUAGAAGGUGUGGCCUUGUUGGAGGAAGUGUGUCACGGUGAGGGCGGGCUUGGAGACCCUCCUCCUAGCUGCCUGAGAAUGCUCAUUCUGUUCCUGGCUUCCUUUGGGUAAAGAUGUAGAACUCAGCUCCUUCUGCACCAUGCCUGCCUGGAUGCUGCAAUGCUGUCAUACUCCUGCCUUGAUGAUAAUGGACUGAACCUCUGAACUUGUGAAGAUGUAGAAUUCAGCUCCUCCUGCACCAUGCCUCCCUGAAUGCUGCAAUGCUGUCAUGCUCUCCCUUGAUGAUAAUGGACUGAACCUCUGAACCUGUAAGCCAGCCCCAAUUAAAUGUUGUCCUUUAUAAAAC